GAUGAACGCUGGUGGCGUGCCUAAUACAUGCAAGUCGAGCGAACGGACGAGAAGCUUGCUUCUCUGAUGUUAGCGGCGGACGGGUGAGUAACACGUGGAUAACCUACCUAUAAGACUGGGAUAACUUCGGGAAACCGGAGCUAAUACCGGAUAAUAUUUUGAACCGCAUGGUUCAAAGGUGAAAGACGGUCUUGCUGUCACUUAUAGAUGGAUCCGCGCUGCAUUAGCUAGUUGGUAAGGUAACGGCUUACCAAGGCAACGAUGCAUAGCCGACCUGAGAGGGUGAUCGGCCACACUGGAACUGGGACACGGUCCAGACUCCUACGGGAGGCAGCAGUAGGGAAUCUUCCGCAAUGGGCGAAAGCCUGACGGAGCAACGCCGCGUGAGUGAUGAAGGUCUUCGGAUCGUAAAACUCUGUUAUUAGGGAAGAACAUAUGUGUAAGUAACUGUGCACAUCUUGACGGUACCUAAUCAGAAAGCCACGGCUAACUACGUG
rnacentral:rRNA from 1 species